rnacentral:rRNA from 1 species
GAUGAACGCUGGCGGCGUGCCUAAUACAUGCAAGUCGAGCGAACAGACGAGGAGCUUUCUCCUCUGACGUUAGCGGCGGACGGGUGAGUAACACGUGGAUAACCUACCUAUAAGACUGGGAUAACUUCGGGAAACCGGAGCUAAUACCGGAUAAUAUAUUGAACCGCAUGGUUCAAUGGUGAAAGACGGUUUUGCUGUCACUUAUAGAUGGAUCCGCGCCGCAUUAGCUAGUUGGUAAGGUAACGGCUUACCAAGGCAACGAUGCGUAGCCGACCUGAGAGGGUGAUCGGCCACACUGGAACUGAGACACGGUCCAGACUCCUACGGGAGGCAGCAGUAGGGAAUCUUCCGCAAUGGGCGAAAGCCUGACGGAGCAACGCCGCGUGAGUGAUGAAGGUCUUCGGAUCGUAAAACUCUGUUAUUAGGGAAGAACAAAUGUGUAAGUAACUAUGCACGUCUUGACGGUACCUAAUCAGAAAGCCACGGCUAACUACGUG